rnacentral:rRNA from 1 species
UCUAACUUCAGGACGGGGACAACAGUUGGAAACGACUGCUAAUACCCGAUGUGCCGCAAGGUGAAACCUAAUUGGCCUGAAGAAGAGCUUGCGUCUGAUUAGCUAGUUGGUGGGGUAAGAGCCUACCAAGGCGACGAUCAGUAGCUGGUCUGAGAGGAUGAGCAGCCACACUGGGACUGAGACACGGCCCAGACUCCUACGGGAGGCAGCAGUGGGGAAUUUUCCGCAAUGGGCGAAAGCCUGACGGAGCAACGCCGCGUGAGGGAGGAAGGUCUUUGGAUUGUAAACCUCUUUUCUCAAGGAAGAAGUUCUGACGGUACUUGAGGAAUCAGCCUCGGCUAACUCCGUGCCAGCAGCCGCGGUAAUACGGGGGAGGCAAGCGUUAUCCGGAAUUAUUGGGCGUAAAGCGUCCGCAGGUGGUCAGCCAAGUCUGCCGUCAAAUCAGGUUGCUUAACGACCUAAAGGCGGUGGAAACUGGCAGACUAGAGAUCAGUAGGGGUAGCAGGAAUUCCCAGUGUAGCGGUGAAAUGCGUAGAGAUUGGGAAGAACAUCGGUGGCGAAAGCGUGCUACUGGGCUGUAUCUGACACUCAGGGACGAAAGCUAGGGGAGCGAAAGGGAUUAG